AUGGGCUACAGGCUCCUCUGCUAUGUUGCUCUUUGUCUCCUGGGAGCAGGCCCAGUGGAUUCUGGAGUCAUCCAAACCCCAAGACACGUGGUCAAAGCAAAAGGACAGCAAGCGAUGCUGAAAUGUUCCCCUAUUUAUGAGCACGACACUGUAUCUUGGUACCAACAGGCUCUGGGCCAGGGCCCCAAGUUCCUCAUUCAGUAUUACAAUGGGGAGGUGAGAGAAAAAGGAGAUAUCCCAGAUCGAUUCUCAGGGCAGCAGUUUGGUAACCAAAGCUCUGAGCUGAACCUGACCAUCCUGGAGCUGACGGACUCUGCCCUGUAUCUCUGUGCCAGUAGCUUGGCACAGCGCUGCAGGGUCAGCAGCCAACAGCACAAAAACAUUCCUGCCCUAGCUCAGGAAGUGAUUGUGAGGGUGGCAGCUGCCAGCCAGACAGGCUCGGUCCCUCAUAUAUCAGACAGGCCUUCCACUCAUACUCCUCCUGUUUGUGUCCUUCUCUCCAAGGCUCCAGAGAUGCGAGUCACCGAUACCCCUGACAUAUGGUUCUGCUAA